rnacentral:SRP_RNA from 1 species
AGUCAGGCCCGUACGGCAGGAGAUUGUGAACCCCGCCAGGCCCGGAAGGGAGCAACGGUAACAAACCCUCCUGAGCGUUGCGGAAACCCUGACUAGC